GGUUAAGCGACUAAGCGUACACGGUGGAUGCCCUGGCAGUCAGAGGCGAUGAAGGACGUGCUAAUCUGCGAUAAGCGUCGGUAAGGUGAUAUGAACCGUUAUAACCGGCGAUUUCCGAAUGGGGAAACCCAGUGUGUUUCGACACACUAUCAUUAACUGAAUCCAUAGGUUAAUGAGGCGAACCGGGGGAACUGAAACAUCUAAGUACCCCGAGGAAAAGAAAUCAACCGAGAUUCCCCCAGUAGCGGCGAGCGAACGGGGAGCAGCCCAGAGCCUGAAUCAGUGUGUGUGUUAGUGGAAGCGUCUGGAAAGGCGCGCGAUACAGGGUGACAGCCCCGUACACAAAAAUGCACAUAUUGUGAGCUCGAUGAGUAGGGCGGGACACGUGGUAUCCUGUCUGAAUAUGGGGGGACCAUCCUCCAAGGCUAAAUACUCCUGACUGACCGAUAGUGAACCAGUACCGUGAGGGAAAGGCGAAAAGAACCCCGGCGAGGGGAGUGAAAAAGAACCUGAAACCGUGUACGUACAAGCAGUGGGAGCCUCUUUUAUGGGGUGACUGCGUACCUUUUGUAUAAUGGGUCAGCGACUUAUAUUCUGUAGCAAGGUUAACCGAAUAGGGGAGCCGAAGGGAAACCGAGUCUUAACUGGGCGUUAAGUUGCAGGGUAUAGACCCGAAACCCGGUGAUCUAGCCAUGGGCAGGUUGAAGGUUGGGUAACACUAACUGGAGGACCGAACCGACUAAUGUUGAAAAAUUAGCGGAUGACUUGUGGCUGGGGGUGAAAGGCCAAUCAAACCGGGAGAUAGCUGGUUCUCCCCGAAAGCUAUUUAGGUAGCGCCUCGUGAAUUCAUCUCCGGGGGUAGAGCACUGUUUCGGCAAGGGGGUCAUCCCGACUUACCAACCCGAUGCAAACUGCGAAUACCGGAGAAUGUUAUCACGGGAGACACACGGCGGGUGCUAACGUCCGUCGUGAAGAGGGAAACAACCCAGACCGCCAGCUAAGGUCCCAAAGUCAUGGUUAAGUGGGAAACGAUGUGGGAAGGCCCAGACAGCCAGGAUGUUGGCUUAGAAGCAGCCAUCAUUUAAAGAAAGCGUAAUAGCUCACUGGUCGAGUCGGCCUGCGCGGAAGAUGUAACGGGGCUAAACCAUGCACCGAAGCUGCGGCAGCGACACUAUGUGUUGUUGGGUAGGGGAGCGUUCUGUAAGCCUGUGAAGGUGUGCUGUGAGGCAUGCUGGAGGUAUCAGAAGUGCGAAUGCUGACAUAAGUAACGAUAAAGCGGGUGAAAAGCCCGCUCGCCGGAAGACCAAGGGUUCCUGUCCAACGUUAAUCGGGGCAGGGUGAGUCGACCCCUAAGGCGAGGCCGAAAGGCGUAGUCGAUGGGAAACAGGUUAAUAUUCCUGUACUUGGUGUUACUGCGAAGGGGGGACGGAGAAGGCUAUGUUGGCCGGGCGACGGUUGUCCCGGUUUAAGCGUGUAGGCUGG
rnacentral:rRNA from 1 species